rnacentral:lncRNA from 1 species
AGUGUUCUAUUUUUUAUUGGUUACCUUGGUAUAAACGUGGACAUGGUUGUAGUAAAGAAAUGAGGUCGGAACAGAGAAGGUACUAAAGGAAGAAGAGAGAGAAAAUAAUAAUGGAUGUCCACUAUUAUUACAAAAUAGUUGUAAUUUUUGGGUCCACUGGUGGAUCCACUAAUGUCUCGUGGAUCUUCAUCGAUCACUUCUGUACAUCAGUUCCACACUACUGCCAAACAUCGC